GGGCGUAUAGCUCAGCUGGUAGAGCUCCUGUUUUACACACAGGCGGUCAUAGGUUCAAGUCCUGUUGCGCCCA
rnacentral:tRNA from 1 species